AUGUCGUGCAGCCCCUACACUAAGGGCCGCCCAGUGCAUGUAGCUCCCGCUUGCGCAGGGUCCGGGGAAGGGUCCGACCACUUUGGGUCUUUUGUACGCAGCCUUUCCCUGCAUCUCUGCAAGAGGCUGUUUCUAGGACUUGAACCCGUGACCUCAUGGCACAAGGCAGCAGCUUUACCACUGCAGCCCCCUACUCUGAUUGAACAAAAUCAUCAAGUGACAGCACAAUCGGGACAACUAGUGAAUAAGGAAGAUUAUCAUAAACUAGUUUGGAGGUUAUUGUACUUGUGUCGUACAAAGCCUGACAUUACGUAUGUCGUGGGUGUGGUGAGAAGAUACAUGCAUGAACCAAGGAGUGGGCAUCUUGAUAAUGUGCACAGAAUCCUGAAAUACUUGAAGGGCAGUGCGGGUAAAGGGUUGUGGUUUGCGAAGAGUGGACAUCUUGAGGUGGCUGGCUAUACUAACUCUGAAUACGCAAGUUGUCAAGAUGAUAGAAGAUCAAGUUUUGUGUUUGUGGGGGGAAAUUUGGUUUCAUGGAGAAGUAAGAAUUAG
rnacentral:rRNA from 1 species